rnacentral:lncRNA from 1 species
AAGCCCUUUCUAUGAAGGUUACAGGCUCUAUAUCUGCUUUCAUGAUGACAUUUGUCUAUGUUUUUGUAGGAUUCUAUUCUGACAAGCACAAAACCCUGCACCAAGUUGAACCUGUCCUUUGUGAUGAGGCUGUUGAACAGAAGAGCAGCAUAGCAGUCUGUCUAUUCUUGCUCCACAUUCAGCUAAAUGCCAACUCCGAUCCCUUUGAGAUGGUGAACAGGCUGAACCUAGGGAUCGUGUCAUCCCUCAGUAUCCAGACUUCUUCAGAGAACCAUGUGGUGAAACUUCUUGAUUAAGGUC